CUGCAACUCGCCUGCAUGAAGUCGGAAUUGCUAGUAAUCGCAGAUCAGCAUGCUGCGGUGAAUACGUUCCCGGGCCUUGUACACACCGCCCGUCACACCAUGGGAGUCGGUAACACCCAAAGUUGGUAGCCUAACCGCAAGGAGGGCGCCGCCUAAGGUGGGAUUGAUGACUGGGGUGAAGUCGUAACAAGGUAUC
rnacentral:rRNA from 1 species